rnacentral:rRNA from 1 species
UGCAACUCAAUUGGAAAGAGGAGUGGCGGACGGGUGAGUAACACGUGGGUAACCUACCCAUCAGAGGGGGAUAACACUUGGAAACAGGUGCUAAUACCGCAUAACAGUUUAUGCCGCAUGGCAUAAGAGUGAAAGGCGCUUUCGGGUGUCGCUGAUGGAUGGACCCGCGGUGCAUUAGCUAGUUGGUGAGGUAACGGCUCACCAAGGCCACGAUGCAUAGCCGACCUGAGAGGGUGAUCGGCCACACUGGGACUGAGACACGGCCCAGACUCCUACGGGAGGCAGCAGUAGGGAAUCUUCGGCAAUGGACGAAAGUCUGACCGAGCAACGCCGCGUGAGUGAAGAAGGUUUUCGGAUCGUAAAACUCUGUUGUUAGAGAAGAACAAGGACGUUAGUAACUGAACGUCCCCUGACGGUAUCUAACCAGAAAGCCACGGCUAACUACGUGCCAGCAGCCGCGGUAAUACGUAGGUGGCAAGCGUUGUCCGGAUUUAUUGGGCGUAAAGCGAGCGCAGGCGGUUUCUUAAGUCUGAUGUGAAAGCCCCCGGCUCAACCGGGGAGGGUCAUUGGAAACUGGGAGACUUGAGUGCAGAAGAGGAGAGUGGAAUUCCAUGUGUAGCGGUGAAAUGCGUAGAUAUAUGGAGGAACACCAGUGGCGAAGGCGGCUCUCUGGUCUGUAACUGACGCUGAGGCUCGAAAG